AUCAAUAAACCUUCUUGAUCUUGUCUGAUCUCAGAAGCUAAGCAGGGUCAGGCCUGGUUAGUACUUGGAUGGGAGACGGAAGAGAUAAGGACCAGAUA
rnacentral:rRNA from 1 species